rnacentral:rRNA from 1 species
GCCUGCUGUUUUGUAAUGGAAGCUUCUGCUGAGAUCCCAUCAGACUGCCCAAGCCAAGCAUGACUGAGAUGGGUUAGUACGUGGAUGGAAGACCACUAUGGCUGUGCACUACAGCAAGUG